rnacentral:miRNA from 2 species
UUCCUGAUGCCUCUCAUUCCUA